AUUGAACGCUGGCGGCAGGCCUAACACAUGCAAGUCGAACGAGUGGCGGACGGGUGAGUAAUGUCUGGGAAACUGCCCGAUGGAGGGGGAUAACUACUGGAAACAGUAGCUAAUACCGCAUACCAUCGGAUGUGCCCAGAUGGGAUUAGCUAGUAGGUGGGGUAACGGCUCACCUAGGCGACGAUCCCUAGCUGGUCUGAGAGGAUGACCAGCCAAACUGGAACUGAGACACGGUCCAAACCCCUACGGGAGGCAGCAGUGGGGAAUAUUGGACAAGGGGCGCAAGCCUGAUGAAGCCAUGCCGGGUGUAUGAAGAGGGCCUGAGGGUUGUAAAGUACUUUCAGCGAGGAGGCGUUACUCGCAGAAGAAGCACCGGCUAGCUCGGUGCCAGCGGCCGCGGUAAAC
rnacentral:rRNA from 1 species